rnacentral:lncRNA from 1 species
AUAAAGAAUGACAUUGCUCUACACAAUCUACAUUUUGCUCUUCUCCAGUGCACUUUCUUGUGUCUGCUUGUUGGUUUUAAAUUCCAUUUCCAGUGAAGGAUUCUAGGAGUCCUGUGAGAUUUCAUUUUCAAUCAAAAAAAUAUAUAAAAUAUUAUAUGCACACGCUGUAUAUAAGCAUAGUUCUUACAUCUCUUCCAUCCGAGAGUUCACAAAACUCUUGGAUUUUUAGUACUAAAACAGAAAAGUUGAUAAAACUAAUAAAAAAAAAUUAAAAAAAUAGACUUCGACUAAGUGGGAUGUAAAUCUAACACCUAGUAUAGGAUUGUACAGGUAGUAUUGCUCAUAAAUAUUUUACCCACUUAUCCUUGUCUAAUAGGAGAAACAAAUAUACUGACCGUCCCCAGCGCAAGUGGUAAAGAACUUGGUGGUUAUGACACCUGAGGUUCCAAGUUCGAAUCCUAAUUGAUUCACAUUUCCAGCUAAAUUUAUUUCUAAAUAGAAUAAACGAAGCAGGUAGCAUGCUACCUAUCUCUCUAAAAAAAAAACAUAUACAUAUAUAUAUAUAUAUAGUUUCAUAAAUUGUUGAGCACAUAGUUGCUUAAGUUGCAUGCAUGAAUAAACCAUAAUAUGAUGGAUCCAACUCAAGAUUUGUUGUUUUUUUUUCCCUUUCCUCCCUUCUAUAUUUAGGUCUCUUGCAUAUACAUAUAUAGUACUUUCUUCAAGAAAGAAAAUAUCACAUGCUCCUUUUGAGUUUGAAAGAGGGAAAAAAAAAGGUUAAAAAAAAAAAAAACAGAUAAUCCUUUUGGGGGAAAGAAAAUUUGGUUCUGUGUAUUAUGGCAUUUUACAUUUUUCACUUACCAUUAAGUUUUUCCAUUUUUAUUAAGCACAGAUGAGUAAUCAUAUACCUUGCUUGCUCAAGUAUGUGUGUUUCUGCUUGUGUCCUCUACCAAGAAAAGCAGCUUCUGGAUCAGCAGAAAGAACCAAACUCCCAUAAAUUGCAUCCAACUAUAUUACUGUAUACCCAAUCUC